rnacentral:rRNA from 2 species
CCCAAUUUGGAAAGGAAAAAGCGGUAACAGGGCUUAGGUGCUGACUAGUGGCGACGGGUGAGUAACAAAACGGACCCUGCCUAAAGUGGGGGAUACUACUCCCUAUAGAGCUAAUACCGCAUGAGAUCUAUGGAUGAAAGCAGGGGACCUUCGGGCCUUGUGCUACUACACCGGCUGAUGGCACAUUAUGUAGUUGGUGGGGUAAAGGGUUACCGAGCCUGCGAUCUGUCGAUGGUCUGAGAGGACGACCAGCCACACUGGGACAGAGACACGGACCCAACUCCUACAGGAGGCAACAAUGGGGAAUUUUGGACAAUGGGCGAAAGCCUGAUCCCCCAAUGCCCCCUGCAGGAUGAAGGCCCUCGGGUCGUAAGCUGCUUUUGUACUGUCCGAAAAGCGUGGGGCUAAUACCCCCGGGUCAUGACGGAAAUAUAAUAAUAACCACCGACUAACUACGUGUCACCAUCCGCGCUAAUACCUAGGGUGCGAGCGUGAAUCCGAAUUACUGGGCGUAAAGCCUGUGCCGCGGUUUUGUAACACUUGGUGAAAUCCCCGCUCCCCACUGUGAUCUGCCAUUGUGAUGGAAACUAAAGAGCAGACACGGGGAUAGGAUUCCACGUGUACCGUGUACUGCGUAUAUGUGCACAGAAACACCGAUGGCC